CGGUCCUACGGGGGGCAGCAGUGGGGAAUAUUGGACAAUGGGGGAGACCCUGAUCCAGCGACGCCGCGUGAGUGAAGAAGUAUUUCGGUACGUAAAGCUCUAUCAGCAGGAAAGAAAAUGACGGUACCUGACUAAGAAGCCCCGGCUAACUACGUGCCAGCAGCCGCGGUAAUACGUAGGGGGCAAGCGUUAUCCGGAUUUACUGGGUGUAAAGGGAGCGUAGACGGCAGCGCAAGUCUGGAGUGAAAUACCGGGGCUCAACUCCGGGACUGCAUUGGAAACUGUCAGACUGGAGUGUCGGAGAG
rnacentral:rRNA from 1 species